UGCAUGGGGGAAACCUGACCGCCUCUCCGCGUUGUGCGAUGAAGGCCUUCGGGUUGUAAAGCUCUUUUGUCAGGGAAGAAACACCGGCUCUAACACAGUCCGGGAAUGACGGUACCUGAAGAAUAAGCACCGGCUAACUACGUGCCAGCAGCCGCGGUAAUACGUAGGGUGCAAGCGUUAAUCAGAAUCACUGGGCGUAAAGCGUGCGCAGGCGGUUAUACAAGACAGGCGUGAAAUCCCCGGGCUUAACCUGGGAAUGGCGCCUGUGACUGUGUAGCUAGAGUGUGUCAGAGGGGGGUAGAAUCCCACGUGUAGCAGUGAAAUGGGUAGAUAUGUGGAGGAAUACCAAUGGCGAAGGCAGCCCCCUGGGAUAACACUGACGCUCAUGCACGAAA
rnacentral:rRNA from 1 species